rnacentral:rRNA from 1 species
GGCGAGUGAAGCGGCAAGAGCUCAAAUUUGAAAUCUGGCCCCUCCGGGGUCCGAGUUGUAAUUUGGAGAGGAUGCUUCGGGCUCGGUCCCCAUCUAAGUGCCCCUGGAACGGGCUGUCAUAGAGGGUGAGAAUCCCGUAUGGGAUGGGCGGCCGUGCCCGUGUGAAGCUCCUUCGACGAGUCGAGUUGUUUGGGAAUGCAGCUCUAAGCGGGUGGUAAAUUUCAUCUAAAGCUAAAUACUGGCCGGAGACCGAUAGCGCACAAGUAGAGUGAUCGAAAGAUGAAAAGCACUUUGAAAAGAGAGUUAAACAGCACGUGAAAUUGUUGAAAGGGAAGCGUUGGCCACCAGACGCGCCCGGGGGGGCUCAGCCGGCACGUGUGCCGGUGUACUCCCCCCCGGACGGGUCAGCAUCGGUUUGGGCGGUCGCUGAAAGGCUCUGGGAAUGUAGCACCCUCCGGGGUGCCUUAUAGCCCAGGGUGUCAUGCGGCCCGCCUGGACCGAGGUUCGCGCUUCGGCGAGGAUGCUGGCGUAAUGGUGGUCAACGGCCCGUCUUGAACCANCGGGACNNA